rfam:Eutrema salsugineum unplaced genomic scaffold scaffold_15, whole genome shotgun sequence.
AAUCCAUGGUGGAGGAAGUCACGUUCAUAAUCUUUAAAACGCUCCCAGGCUUCAUAAAAAGGUUUGGCCAUUCCUUGCUGGAAACUUGAGAUCUUAGUUCUCAGUAA